rnacentral:rRNA from 1 species
AUUGAACGCUGGCGGCAGGCCUAACACAUGCAAGUCGAACGAGUAGCGGACGGGUGAGUAAUGUCUGGGAAACUGCCCGAUGGAGGGGGAUAACUACUGGAAACGGUAGCUAAUAACGCAUACCAUAGGAUGUGCCCAGAUGGGAUGAGCUAGUAGGUGGGGUAACGGCUCACCUAGGCGCCUAUCCCUAGCUGGUCUGAGAGGAUGACCAGCCACACUGGAACUGAGACACGGUCCAGACUCCUACGGGAGGCAGAAGUGGGGAAUAUGGCACAAUGGGCGCAAGCCUGAUGCAGCCAUGCCGCGUGGAUGAAGAAGGCAUUCGGUUUGUAAAGUACUGUCAUCGAGGAGGCGUUACUCGCAGAAGAAGCACCGGCUAACUACGUGCCAGCCGCCGCGGUAAUAC